rnacentral:rRNA from 1 species
ACGCUUCUUUUUCACCGAACUUCGGUUCAUCGAAAAAGAGGAGUGGCGAACGGGUGAGUAACACGUGGGUAACCUGCCCAUCAGAAGGGGAUAACACUUGGAAACAGGUGCUAAUACCGUAUAAUGCUUUUUCUCGCAUGAGAGCAAGCUGAAAGGCGCUUUUGCGUCACUGAUGGAUGGACCCGCGGUGCAUUAGCUAGUUGGUGAGGUAACGGCUCACCAAGGCCACGAUGCAUAGCCGACCUGAGAGGGUGAUCGGCCACACUGGGACUGAGACACGGCCCAGACUCCUACGGGAGGCAGCAGUAGGGAAUCUUCGGCAAUGGACGAAAGUCUGACCGAGCAACGCCGCGUGAGUGAAGAAGGUUUUCGGAUCGUAAAACUCUGUUGUUAGAGAAGAACAAGGAUGAGAGUAAAAUGUUCAUCCCUUGACGGUAUCUAACCAGAAAGCCACGGCUAACUACGUGCCAGCAGCCGCGGUAAUACGUAGGUGGCAAGCGUUGUCCGGAUUUAUUGGGCGUAAAGCGAGCGCAGGCGGUUUCUUAAGUCUGAUGUGAAAGCCCCCGGCUCAACCGGGGAGGGUCAUUGGAAACUGGGAGACUUGAGUGCAGAAGAGGAGAGUGGAAUUCCAUGUGUAGCGGUGAAAUGCGUAGAUAUAUGGAGGAACACCAGUGGCGAAGGCGGCUCUCUGGUCUGUAACUGACGCUGAGGCUCGAAA